AUGCCGCGUGCAGGAAGACUGCCCUAUGGGUUGUAAACUGCUUUUAUACAGGAAGAAACGCUUCUACGUGUAGAGGUUUGACGGUACUGUAAGAAUAAGGAUCGGCUAACUCCGUGCCAGCAGCCGCGGUAAUACGGAGGAUCCAAGCGUUAUCCGGAAUCAUUGGGUUUAAAGGGUCCGUAGGUGGAUAAUUAAGUCAGAGGUGAAAUCCUGCAGCUCAACUGUAGAAUUGCCUUUGAUACUGGUUAUCUUGAGUCAUUAUGAAGUGGUUAGAAUGUGUAGUGUAGCGGUGAAAUGCAUAGAUAUUACACAGAAUACCGAUUGCGAAGGCAGAUCACUAAUAAUGUACUGACACUGAUGGACGAAAGCGUGGGGAGCGAACAGGAUUAGAUACCCUGGUAGUCCACGCCGUAAACGAUGGUCACUAGCUGUGUGGAUUUCGGUCUGCGUGGCUAAGCGAAAGUGAUAAGUGACCCACCUGGGGAGUACGUUCGCAAGAAUGAAAC
rnacentral:rRNA from 1 species